CAGUCCUUGGGCAGUGGAUGGGACCGGGCGCCUAGGAGCAGGGGGCGGCGCCGGUCGGGUAGGGUCGGGCUGGCGGGAGCCCGGGGCGGGGCUUGGGCAUGGCUGGCUGCAGGUCCCCAGCCCUGCCACACGGGGAGGCGGCUGAGGCCCAGCAAGAAUUCAAGCUCCGCGGGGGCAGGCCAGCAGUGCUGGGGGACCCGGCGCACCCUCCGCAGCUGCUGGCCCGGGUGCUAAACCCCUCACUGCCCGGGCCGGCGGUGCCGGCGGGCUGCUCUCAGUGCGGGACCUCGGAGCCUGCGCCCACCCGGAACUAGCCGCGUUCAGCCCUGGUUCCCGCCCCCGCCUCUCCCGCCACACCUCUCCACAAGCAGAGGGAGCUGGCUUCAGCCUCAGCCAGCACAGAGAGGGGCCCCCAUAGCGCAGUGGCGGGCUGAAGGGCUCCUUGAGCAUGGCCAGAGUGGACGCCAAGGCUGAGGAGGCGCCGAGAGCCAGUGAGGGCUGCUAGCAUGUUGUCACCUCUCAAUACAUAAAACUACUGGAGGGUGGUUCCAAGAUGGCCAAAUAGGAACAGCUCCAGUCUACAGCUCCCAGCAUGAGUGAUGCAGAAGACGAAUGAUUUCUGCAUUUCCAACUCAGGUACUGGGUUCAUCUUAUUGGGGAUUGUCAGACAGUGGGUGCAGGACAGUGGGUGCAGCGCACCGAGCGUGAGCCGAAGUAGGGCAAGGCAUCACCUCACCCAGGAAGCGCAAGGGGUCAGGGAAUUCCCUUUCCUAGCCAAGGAAAGGGGUGACAGAUGGCACCUGGAAAAUCGGGUCACUCCCACCCUAAUACUGCGCUUUUCUGAUGGUCAUAGCAAAUGGCACACCAGGAGAUUAUAUCCCGUGCCUGGCUCGGAGGGUCCUACGCCCACGGACCCUUGCUCAUUGCUAGCACAGCAGUCUGAGAUCAAAUUGAAAGGCAGCAGCCAGGCUGGGGGAGGGGCAUCUGCCAUUGCUGAGGCGUGAGUAGGUAAACAAACCUGCCGGGAAGCUCAAACUGGGUGGAGCCCACCGCAUCUCAAGGAGGCCUGCCUGCCUCUGUAGACUCCACCUCUGGGGGCAGGGCAUAGCCAAACAAAAGGCAGCAGAAACCUCUGCAGACUUAAAUGUCCCUGCCUGACAGCUUGGAAGACAGCAGUGGUUCUCCCAGCAUGCAGCUGGAGAUCUGAGAAUGGACAGAGUGCCUCCUCAAGUGGGUCCCUGACCCCUGGGUAGCCUAACUGGGAGGCAUCCCCCAGUAGGGGCAGACUGACACCUCACACGGCCGGGUACUCCUCUGAGACAAAACUUCCAGAGGAACGAUCAGGCAGCAGCAUUUGCUGUUCACCAAUAUUCGCUGUUCUGCAGCCUCAACUGCUGAUAUCCAGGCAAACAGGGUCUGGAGUGGACCUCCGGCAAACUCCAACAGACCUGCAGCUGAGGGUCCUGUCUGUUAGAAGGAAAACUAACAAACAGAAAGGACAUCCACCCCAAAAACCCAUCUGUACGUCACCAUCAUCGAAGAACAAAGGUAGAUAAAACCACAAAGAUGGGAAAAAAACAGAGCAGAAAAACUGGAAACUCUAAAAAUCAGAGCGCCUCUCCUCCUCCAAAGGAAUGCAACUCUUCACCAGCAACGGAACAAAGCUGGACGGAGAAUGACUUUGACGAGUUGAGAAAAGAAGGCUUCAGAUGAUCAAACUACUCCGAGCUACAGGAGGAA
rnacentral:lncRNA from 1 species